AUUGAACGCUGGCGGCAUGCCUUACACAUGCAAGUCGAACGGUAACAGGUCUUCGGAUGCUGACGAGUGGCGAACGGGUGAGUAAUACAUCGGAACGUGCCUAGUAGUGGGGGAUAACUACUCGAAAGAGUGGCUAAUACCGCAUGAGAUCUACGGAUGAAAGCAGGGGAUCGCAAGACCUUGUGCUACUAGAGCGGCCGAUGGCAGAUUAGAUAGUUGGUGGGAUAAAAGCUUACCAAGCCGACGAUCUGUAGCUGGUCUGAGAGGACGAUCAGCCACACUGGGACUGAGAAACGGCCCAGACUCCUACGGGAGGCAGAAGUGGGGAAUUUUGGACAAUGGGCGCAAGCCUGAUCCAGCAAUGCCGCGUGCAGGAUGAAGGCCUUCGGGUUGUAAACUGCUUUUGUACGGAACGAAAAGCCCCGGGUUAAUACCCUGGGGUCAUGACGGUACCGUAAGAAUAAGCACCGGCUAACUACGUGCCAGCCGCCGCCGUAA
rnacentral:rRNA from 1 species